GACGAACGCUGGCGGCGUGCCUAACACAUGCAAGUCGAACGGAAAGGCCCUGCUUUCGUGGGGUGCCCGAGUGGCGAACGGGUGAGUAACACGUGAGCAACCUGCUCUAGAUUUUGGGAUAACUUCAGGAAACUGGGGCUAAUAUCGGAUAGGAGCCGCCGUUGCAGGGUGGGGGUUGGAACGUCUCGGCGGGUGGGGUUGGAUGCGCGGCUUAUCAGCUAGUUGGUGGGGUAGUGGCUUACCAAGGCAUUGACGGGUAGCCGGCCUGAGAGGGUGACCGGCGACAUUGGGACUGAGAUACGGCGCAGACUCCAACAUGAGACAGCAGUGGGGAGUCUUGCCCAGUGAGCGGGAGCCUGAUGCGGAGACGCUGCGUGCGGGAUGACGGCCUGCGGGUUGUGAACCGCAGUCGCCUGUGACGAAGCGUGACUGACGGUAAUGAAUGAAGAAGCACCGGCUAACUACGUG
rnacentral:rRNA from 1 species